rnacentral:siRNA from 1 species
CAUUAGAUAUCUUUACGCAUCAGG